CCAUGACUUGUUAUCUACAAACUAAAGCCUGGAUUUUUCUCCUCCAAAUAAGGCACGCGACUGCCUAGUACCAGUUGUUAAAAUAAUCUCUUUAAAGGUUUUUCAAAAAAUACAGAACCAUCCAACAUAAACAUUGAAUCCUCAGAGAGCAUAUAAAAUAUAAAG